rnacentral:rRNA from 1 species
CACGUAGGGGGCAAGCGUUGUCCGGAUUUAUUGGGCGUAAAGAGCUCGUAGGCGGUUCGGUAAGUCGGGUGUGAAACCUCCAGGCUCAACCUGGAGACGCCACCCGAUACUGCUGUGACUAGAGUCCGGUAGGGGAGCGUGGAAUUCCUGGUGUAGCGGUGAAAUGCGCAGAUAUCAGGAAGAACACCCGUGGCGAAGGCGGUUCUCUGGGACGGUACUGACGCUGAGACGCGAAAGCGUGGGGAGCGAACAGG